AGCGUACACGGUGGAUGCCCUGGCAGUCAGAGGCGAUGAAGGGCGUGCUAAUCUGCGAUAAGCGCCGGUAAGGUGAUAUGAACCGUUAUAACCGGCGAUACCCGAAUGGGGAAACCCAGUGUGACUCGUCACACUAUCAUUAACUGAAUCCAUAGGUUAAUGAGGCGAACCGGGGGAACUGAAACAUCUAAGUACCCCGAGGAAAAGAAAUCAACCGAGAUUCCCCCAGUAGCGGCGAGCGAACGGGGAGGAGCCCAGAGCCUGAAUCAGCAUGUGUGUUAGUGGAAGCGUCUGGAAAGGCGCGCGAUACAGGGUGACAGCCCCGUACACAAAAGCGCAUGUGCUGUGAGCUCGAUGAGUAGGGCGGGACACGUGGUAUCCUGUCUGAAUAUGGGGGGACCAUCCUCCAAGGCUAAAUACUCCUGACUGACCGAUAGUGAACCAGUACCGUGAGGGAAAGGCGAAAAGAACCCCGGCGAGGGGAGUGAAAAAGAACCUGAAACCGUGUACGUACAAGCAGUGGGAGCCCCACCACUAAGCCAGUGGUGAACUCCACAUACGCAUCCUUUGCUGAGGAUACGGUUAACGGAGCGCAAGCGACGUUCAACCGCAAAAGAAGCAGAGGGGGCUUAGUGGUGGGGUGACUGCGUACCUUUUGUAUAAUGGGUCAGCGACUUAUAUUCUGUAGCAAGGUUAACCGAAUAGGGGAGCCGGAGGGAAACCGAGUCUUAAUUGGGCGUUAAGUUGCAGGGUAUAGACCCGAAACCCGGUGAUCUAGCCAUGGGCAGGUUGAAGGUUGGGUAACACUAACUGGAGGACCGAACCGACUAAUGUUGAAAAAUUAGCGGAUGACCUGUGGCUGGGGGUGAAAGGCCAAUCAAACCGGGAGAUAGCUGGUUCUCCCCGAAAGCUAUUUAGGUAGCGCCUCGUGAAUUCAUCUCCGGGGGUAGAGCACUGUUUCGGCUAGGGGGCCAUCCCGGCUUACCAACCCGAUGCAAACUGCGAAUACCGGAGAAUGUUAUCACGGGAGACACACGGCGGGUGCUAACGUCCGUCGUGAAGAGGGAAACAACCCAGACCGCCAGCUAAGGUCCCAAAGUCAUGGUUAAGUGGGAAACGAUGUGGGAAGGCCCAGACAGCCAGGAUGUUGGCUUAGAAGCAGCCAUCAUUUAAAGAAAGCGUAAUAGCUCACUGGUCGAGUCGGCCUGCGCGGAAGAUGUAACGGGGCUAAACCAUGCACCGAAGCUGCGGCAGCGAACGUAUCACUUAAAGCGAUUCAGCGGGUUACGAUUGACGGAGCGAAGCGACGUCAAAGCGUAUACAAAGUCGAGUCGGUUUAAGGAUACGUUCGUUGGGUAGGGGAGCGUUCUGUAAGCCUGCGAAGGUGGCCUGUGAGGGUUGCUGGAGGUAUCAGAAGUGCGAAUGCUGACAUAAGUAACGAUAAAGCGGGUGAAAAGCCCGCUCGCCGGAAGACCAAGGGUUCCUGUCCAACGUUAAUCGGGGCAGGGUGAGUCGACCCCUAAGGCGAGGCCGAAAGGCGUAGUCGAUGGGAAACGGGUUAAUAUUCCCGUACUUGGUGUUACUGCGAAGGGGGGACGGAGAAGGCUAUGUUGGCCGGGCGACGGUUGUCCCGGUUUAAGCGUGUAGGUGUGUGUUCCAGGUAAAUCCGGUUCACUUUAACACUGAGGCGUGAUGACGAGGCACUACGGUGCUGAAGCAACAAAUGCCCUGCUUCCAGGAAAAGCCUCUAAGCAUCAGGUAACAUCAAAUCGUACCCCAAACCGACACAGGUGGUCAGGUAGAGAAUACCAAGGCGCUUGAGAGAACUCGGGUGAAGGAACUAGGCAAAAUGGUGCCGUAACUUCGGGAGAAGGCACGCUGACACGUAGGUGAAGUGAUUUACUCAUGGAGCUGAAGUCAGUCGAAGAUACCAGCUGGCUGCAACUGUUUAUUAAAAACACAGCACUGUGCAAACACGAAAGUGGACGUAUACGGUGUGACGCCUGCCCGGUGCCGGAAGGUUAAUUGAUGGGGUCAGCGCAAGCGAAGCUCCUGAUCGAAGCCCCGGUAAACGGCGGCCGUAACUAUAACGGUCCUAAGGUAGCGAAAUUCCUUGUCGGGUAAGUUCCGACCUGCACGAAUGGCGUAAUGAUGGCCAGGCUGUCUCCACCCGAGACUCAGUGAAAUUGAACUCGCUGUGAAGAUGCAGUGUACCCGCGGCAAGACGGAAAGACCCCGUGAACCUUUACUAUAGCUUGACACUGAACAUUGAGCCUUGAUGUGUAGGAUAGGUGGGAGGCUUUGAAGUGUGGACGCCAGUCUGCAUGGAGCCGACCUUGAAAUACCACCCUUUAAUGUUUGAUGUUCUAACGUGGACCCGUAAUCCGGGUUGCGGACAGUGUCUGGUGGGUAGUUUGACUGGGGCGGUCUCCUCCUAAAGAGUAACGGAGGAGCACGAAGGUUGGCUAAUCCUGGUCGGACAUCAGGAGGUUAGUGCAAUGGCAUAAGCCAGCUUGACUGCGAGCGUGACGGCGCGAGCAGGUGCGAAAGCAGGUCAUAGUGAUCCGGUGGUUCUGAAUGGAAGGGCCAUCGCUCAACGGAUAAAAGGUACUCCGGGGAUAACAGGCUGAUACCGCCCAAGAGUUCAUAUCGACGGCGGUGUUUGGCACCUCGAUGUCGGCUCAUCACAUCCUGGGGCUGAAGUAGGUCCCAAGGGUAUGGCUGUUCGCCAUUUAAAGUGGUACGCGAGCUGGGUUUAGAACGUCGUGAGACAGUUCGGUCCCUAUCUGCCGUGGGCGCUGGAGAACUGAGGGGGGCUGCUCCUAGUACGAGAGGACCGGAGUGGACGCAUCACUGGUGUUCGGGUUGUCAUGCCAAUGGCACUGCCCGGUAGCUAAAUGCGGAAGAGAUAAGUGCUGAAAGCAUCUAAGCACGAAACUUGCCCCGAGAUGAGUUCU
rnacentral:rRNA from 1 species